GCCUGUGUGAAAGGCAGAACCCUCUCUGAUGACAGGGGAGAACCUAAAACAGGCACCUGGAAGCAUCUCCAAAAUUGUGGGGUGUUUGAAAACGGAAGCAGAGCUGGUCUCUCCACUCGGCAACAGAAGGAAGCACCCUGCCUCCUGCACUCACAAGGCUUCAGCACAACUUCCGGAACUCGGCCGAAUGAGCACAUUCCACAUCCCCCCGCGUGAGAUACAGACCGUGACAGGUGGGAGAGGCCUAGAACUCUGUGAGUUUGGGGGUGUGGAGUGCAUCACUUGGCGCCCAUCUGUGGGGCUGAAGUGUGAAUGCCUGGCCACAGGGAGCACAGUGAGGCUGGCACAGGAGGGAGCCUGCCCCUGCGGAGAGCCCGCUGUGAGCCGGGAGACCUCCCGCCCCAGCCCUGCCUCUGGCAGCUGUCCCGAGGAGAGACGGAGAAAUGUCCUGGCUCCAACACUGUCGCUCACAGUGACAUCCAUCAGACAGACCGGCGCGCAGCCCUCCUGCCUGGCCUCGGGUUCCCACUUGCUGAGUGGAGUGCACUGGGGAACCCUCCCCACUGAAAGUCUGGGAAACUGUGCCGGUCCCCAGACGUCGUCCAAUGGCCGGCAGUGCUCACUGCUGCACAACUGGAGGCAACGCCGCGGAAAGAGAAGCUCUCGGGCAGACGGUAAAAGCCGGGGUGGCAUCCAAACAGCACUUUGGGUUCACAGAUUUCGAAACAUUUUCAAAAA